UGUUCGUAGCUGCAGAAUUUCUGCAGAAUUUUGGUGAUUUCCUUCUUUUGUCUUUGUAUUUGAUUCCAUAUGCUUGAUGUUGUUGAUUCCAAGUGUAUGAUGAUUAUUGUAUGCCUCUAGUCUGGAAGUUCGUCUGCACGGCCUCUGUUCGUAGCUGCAGAAUUUCUGCAGAAUUUUGGUGAUUUCCUUCUUUUGUCUUUGUAUUUGAUUCCAUAUGCUUGAUGUUGUUGAUUCCAAGUGUAU
rnacentral:lncRNA from 1 species